CUACAGAGAAGUAUAGAUUUUGUAUGUCGGUAUGUGGCUCCGAAGGGGUUAUUGUUUUAACCUCUGUUU
rnacentral:tRNA from 1 species